AACGAACGCUGACGGCGUGCUUAACACAUGCAAGUCGAACGAGAAAAUCCUAGCUUGCUAGGGUGAGUAAAGUGGCGCACGGGUGAGUAACACGUGAGUAAUCUGCCCUUAAGUCAGGGAUAACUCCGCGAAAGCGGGGCUAAUACCCGAUAUGCUCACGACUACUGCGGUAGACGUGAGAAAAGGUGGCCUCUGUCAUAAGCUACCGCUAAAGGAUGAGCUCGCGUACCAUUAGCUAGUUGGUAGGGUAAUGGCCUACCAAGGCUUCGAUGGUUAGCUGGUCUGAGAGGAUGAUCAGCCACACUGGAACUGACACACGGUCCAGACACCUACGGGUGGCAG
rnacentral:rRNA from 1 species